GUGAGUGUAAAGGAUUCCGAAAGGACGGGGUGCCGCAGAGGUCACGGUUGAGAGCUGGGCUCUGAGGUUUAGGUUCUCACCGGUCCAGUGUCCGUGUGAUCUUGACCAAGCGCUGGGACCCCUCAGACCCUGAGUUUCUUAAGGUUCCACAUGACCCUGAAGCAGAGAAGAGGAAUGGACUUGGAAUUUAGCCUACUUCAGAUUCUAGUUCCUGUGUCCCAGAUUGGAAGGAGCUUUGGGGCAGAAAUCAUAUUUAUUCUACCCGGAACUUAGAAUCCUCAGCACCUAAACCCAUGCCUCGAGGGGGCGUGAGUUCCCCGUGGCAUGGCCAAAAAAUUAAAACACAGUGUUCCACUCUGGAAUCCAAUCAGCAAUCCUCCUUCUGUGGGCUCUGAAGAUCAAAUAAUUUGCUGGAAUGUAAAGAGGAUUAAUUUG
ensembl:lncRNA